rnacentral:rRNA from 1 species
GACGAACGCUGGCGGCGUGCCUAAUACAUGCAAGUAGAACGAGUUACGAACGGGUGAGUAACGCGUGGUAACCUGCCUCAUAGCGGGGGAUAACUAUUGGAAACGAUAUCUAAUACCGCAUACUGUGGGAUGGACCUGCGUUGUAUGAGCUAGGUGGUGAGGUAAAGGCUCACCAAGGCGACGAUACAUAGCCGACCUGAGAGGGUGAUCAGCCACACUGGAACUGAGACACGGUCCAGACUCCUACGGGAGGCAGCAGUGGGGAAUAUUGCACAAUGGGCGCAAGCCUGAUGCAGCCAUGCCGCGUGUAUGAAGAAGGUCUUCGGGUUGUAAAGUACUUUCAGCGGGGAGGCGUUACCCGCAGAAGAAGCACCGGCUAACUCCGUGCCAGCAGCCGCGGUAAUUC